GGGAGUUGUUUACAUAGAUGCAUAAUGAGAAAAAGGGGAACUAAGAGGAUAAGCUAUGAAAAGAGGGCACUCCAAAGUUUAUGACGUGUGUAAGUAUAGAUAAGGUAAAGGGGGUUGGACACCUCAUGCAUAUACUUAAAGCGUUGAGUGUGAUUAUAACACAGGAUAAAAAGGGUUCCCUUAUAUGGAUAAGGAGGGAAGACCCCCAUCAGGAGAUCCUCCACCAAUGACCACCUAUUGAGAGAUCCACCCGACUCCAUGAUAUCUUUGGGGAUAUUCCAUUUUACCUGACAAAAAUAGUCUGAUUCAGAACUCAGGACUGCUCUAGUAACUUCUCCUGGAAUGUUGAAGAAUUUUAAUUUUAAAAUUCUACAAAUACCAAAAUAAAAGCACAGAGAGAGAAUGUGUAAAACAAUUACUUGAGGGAUACUAGGAAUUAUUGAGAAGUUUAUUAAAAUACCAGAAUUACUGCAAACCAGAGCUUUGUGCCCAAGGGAAGGUUAUCCAACAGUCCCAGACUGGUGCAGAGGAAAGCUGCAGAAACAGAUUAAUUUUCUUUGCUCAAUAUUUAUUAUUUUUUCAGCUACCUUAAAAUGGGAACUGUAAACAUUUUGAUUAAUGGAUUGAAAGGUUGCAUAGUUUCACUGCAGCGCCUGUUCAGUAUUACUAUAUCUGGGCUGGUGCACCUGCUCGCCAUUGAAUAGCUGGGCUGAUCAGCAGUUUCAUUCCUAAGUACAGAGAAUUGCCGUAAUCAAGACUGAAGGUCACAAGUGUGUGAAUCACCAGCUCUGAAACCAAAAGGAGGGGAAGAGUCUUCCUGUGAGAUGGAAAAGGACAUUUUUCACUGCCAGGUCUAUUUGAGUAAUUAAUUUGAAAAAUUCUGUUCUAGACAGGUUCUUUUAGCAUCCUUAUCACCAUAGUAACUGAGCACCUUCCAGUAGUAAAUGCUACUACCAUCUGUCACAUUACUCCUCUUUAAAGAUGUAGUGAAAAGAGCUGCCACAGAUUCUUGGAGAUAUGUGGGGAGGCAGGGAGACCAUGAAUUUUUCUUUACCCUCUCCCCAGCUGCCCCACCAAGCAGCUUUUUGUCCCAACCGAGGGCAAUAACAAAACUGUCUGAGAUUUGGGGAUAGAGAGCAGGGAUACUGACCACGAUCAUCAUGGCUUCAGAGCAUUUCACGAGCCCUUGAGAAAAACUCCAACUGCUUACAGCAGAGGAGGGAGGAAGUGCAUUGCCAGCCAUGAAGAGGUGCAGUGGUUUGCAUGUUUCCCUAUGCAACAGAAAGUUCUGGGAAGCAUCCUGCUUUUUGAAGUCAGAAUGUCUUUGGUGCUUCUCCUGUCCAGUGUAGUUCUGCACCCAUCCCAGGUCCUAAUCCAAAGCUCAUUAACUGAAUGGAAAGACUCCCAAUGACUUCAGUGAGCUUUGCAUCAGGUCCCCAGUGCAGGACUGUGUGUAGAUGGUACAGCCUAGACCUGAGCUAACAUCCAUGUACUAAACAUUUUCUUUUCAACCAACAACACAGCCUUUCCUGAAUGCAAUUCAAGAAUGCAAAUGACUAUAAAGAAGCUAAUUUAGCUGCAAAACUAGAUAGUCCACAUAUGUUAGCAAAUGUUAACUCUUUCUCUGUUGUACACUUACAACCAGUUCCUUAGCUGGUGUAAAGCAGAGGAGCUCCACUGGUCACAACUUACACAAGCUAAGGAAGUGGCCCAAUAACUCUAGAAUGUUCUGUAAGUACCAUUUACUGUAUAAAUUUUUGUAUAAUAGAAUUGCAUGUGCAGUUUCACUGACACGAAUAGUGUUACCUGCAGUACAACAAGAUAUAAACAUGUAUCUACAUUUUUAGCAAACAAUUUUUUUGCAUCCUUAGUUGUACUAGAUACUACCUCUCCCACUAGCAUUUAUAUUAAGUAUAACAUAUCAAUACAAUUUAACCUAAUUAAAUUAUAUAAUGGGAUUAUAUUAUAGUGUAGCAGAAAGGUUUUAUUCACAUUCACUUGGAGAUGUCUGCAUACCUCACUUGUGACUUUAUGAAGCCACUUAGGAGUUACACAGGUUAUUUCAAACUCAAGCUAAGAAACCAUUUAAUCCACACCACACAACCACAUCCUCCUCUGGG